CUGGCCUGGUAGGCUGUAUGCGCUGUAUGACGGAGAGUGUAAGCGUUAAGCUGACGGACCCGGCUGCAAGCAGUAGUCGUUGAGUCAGCAAGUUGUAGGGGCAAUGACAUGGCGCAACCGGGAAAAUGCCUCCAAAUCUACUGAGCGAGUGACCGGUAGAGGUGAGUGGAAUUUGCUGUGUAGCGGUGAAAUGGUGCGAUAUCGGAAGGAACACCAGUGGCGAAGGCGACUACCUGUACUGAUACUGUCACUGAGGUGCGAAAUCGUGGGGAGCAAACAGGAUUAGAUACCCGUGUAGUC
rnacentral:rRNA from 1 species